CAUGAGGAGGAGGUGGGGAGGGGGAUAGAGAGAAGCAGGCUCCCUGCUGAGCAGGGGGCCUGAUGGAGGGCUUGAUCCCAGGACCCCGGGAUCAUGACCUGCAUCUAGAUACAGAGGUUCUUAAGUGUAGAUUUAAUAUCCCUUCUCAUGACAGGGUAAAGAUUGUAUGAAUUUAUGUCUCUCAUUAACUCUAGAGAAAACUCAGUCAUUUUAAAGCAUCUUCUGGAAUUUCUAUCAGUACUGUCAGACACUUUCAUUUUAUUUUCCACAUCUUUUAAUUUCUCUCUCAUAUUCUCUUUACCUCUUUUUGAAACAUUAUGGGCACUUGUAGUUCACUAAUUCUUUCAUCAGGUACAUGUGAUCUACUAUUGAUUUGUCCAUUCAUUUUUUAAAAGGAGGGACUGUUUUGGUAAAAUAUAACACAUGUACAGAGAAAGUGCAUAAAACACAGAUGUACCACUAAGUUAAAUAUUCUAAAGUGAGCACCUAUGUAACAGUCAUCCAAAUCUAGCCACAGAAAUUGUCUAGCUUUCCCCAGAAGCAUUUUAUCCCUUCACAACCACCAGCCUUUCCUCACAAAGUUAACCCCACCCUGACUUUUAUAUUAACACUUUCUUGCAACAGCACACAUACAUGUUUGUAUCCCUUCCUUUGCUUGCCAUUUUGUUUCUGUGCCACACCCACACUGUUACAUGUAAGUGCAGCUCCUCUCUGCUUAGUGCUGGGAUAGCUCAUGUCUGCUUUCCCAACAUCCUAGCUAUUCUUUGUCCUUUUCAUUUCCUUAUCACCGUAUGAUUUCAUUUAUUUAAGGAACAGAACAGGCAAAAGCAGAGAAUUUGAUAUGAACAAGCAAAGAAAAUGAUUUUAUAUGAAGGGCUUGCAAGGCCCACAAAUUACGUGAAAGGUUAAUGGCCUGCUCUUUCAGGAUCCAAAUUUUACUUACUGUUAAAUAAAGUUGCAAAAUACAGAAUACAUAUGGUAUGAUCCCAUUAGACAAAGACAUAUUUUUGCACCUUUGCACCUGUACUACACUACAUACAUAUUUAUCUAUUCAAAUAAUUCUAGAAUCCUAGAAGAUCCAAACUGUUACCAGUGGUUACGUCCAGUAUGUGGAAAUGAAGCAGAAUGCAGGAGGCUGGGAAAGUCUAUCUUUGAGCAUAGGAGGAGCUAUGUGGGCCAGUCUUUUUACAUUUUAUUUAUUUAGAUAACAAGCAUUCCUUUUUUUUUUUUUUUUUUAACAACAUCAGCAAAAGUCAUAUUGUCAGAAGAAAGAAUGAGGAUUUGCUUUUGGGUGCAGCAGGCUCUCCUCUCCUGUAGCUGGUGUUGGUCUUCACCCUCCAGAACACAGCAGAGUCUAUCCAAGGCUUCAGCUUUACAGACCCUAAUGACAUCUUGCAGCCAGCUUCUCAAGAACAAGAAAGUCUUUUCCGGUCAAGAGCAGAAGCUGCAGGAAAUCUAAUAAUGACCAAGGACUUCUUAGGGAGCUGGAUACAGCCCUGAACUAUCCCUGGUGAAGACUAGGACAAGAUUUACCCAGGCUUGCACCAGAUGGUAAGUGCAAGGAGAAAAGACAGGAGGAGACCUUAUAGGUGCCCCACAUUGCACCUGUCCAAUAAGAUGCCCCUUCUUUCCAUCCCUAUGGCCAUCUCCCUAGCCUAGCCCUAGCCUAGACCUUAUUCCCUGCAGGUUUCCUGACUUCUGGCCUUAGUCCUCUCCAAUCUGUGCCCCCACAUAGCAAGACCCAUCACUUCCCAGCUUAAAAGCUGCCCCCAUCUCAGGAAAGUCCACUCCGUGCUGGCCCUCACUGACCCCUCUAACACAGCCCCCUCCUUUCUCCAGAACACACCUCCUCCUAUUCACAAUUCCACACUUUGCACAUGCUGGUGCACUCAGCAGGAACGUCCUCUCCAUCACUCUCUCUUCCCUUGAUGUCUCUCACUCCACCUCCAAAGUCUCCGAGGGGCUUCCUGGAAUUCCCCUCCUAUACCCAUCCCCACCAGGAGUUAGGGACCCACUCCUCUUGACUCAUGGUGCUUGCUUCCUCUGAUGUCAGGUAGAUUCUGUAGGGAAAAUCAACAGGAUUUACCUAUGCUUUAUAAACCUGUCUUUCCUACAGUCUUCUCUUCCUCUAGGCCAGGCCUAGGCUUAUUCACCUCAGGGCAACUAGCACACAGUAGGUACUUAGCAAAUGUUUAGAGCAUGAAUAAGGUUAACUAACUGCUUCUCAAUAAAAGGAAAAACUUUCUAAUUGUCAGAGUUAUCCACUGGGUAAAUGGGCUGCUAGGGAUCUCCCUGUCAGGGGAGUGUUAGUAGAGUACCAGAGCAGGGAGUGGGGAGUAGAGGCAUGGAUGUGAAUUCACUGGUAGCUUGGAUUCCUAAAGAUGUGAACCAUGAACAAGUUUCACUGGAAUCAGCUAGGAGUGUUGGUUACUAAUAGAAAGUACCCCCAACUCAGGAGAUUUGGAUACUGCAAAUCUGGGGCAGGCCAGAAGUCUGUAUGCAAAACAUCAUCCCCAGGAAAUGUUGAAACACACCCCAUUUGGGGACUACUGAACCUUGCGGCCUUUGAGGCCAUUUGCAGUAAGAUUUUGUGUGUGAAGACCCUUCAUAAACCAUGAAGUGCUGUCCAGAAGUCGACUCCAGGAUGUCUCCCAAACAUGAAGAUGGGAAUUGAAUAUUCAGGCUGGGGCUACAGCUCCUCGGACUCAGGAAGGUUGCGGACCCAGCCCUGGGCAACUCUGUUGAAGCUAGGUCUGAGGCGAAGAAGUUCCAAGCCACUGAUGAGCUCUGGGACGAAUGGGGUGCCUGCCCUGGGAAGAGUCUCCCCCACUAAGGGUCCUCCAAAGGGCACUGGGGUCCUGGUGAGAGAAAAGCAGCAGGACAGGUGUGCUGUGUGGGAGAGCACUGGAUGGCAGAGCACUGACAUUUAGGUCACCAUGUGAGGCCCCCUCCCUGCCUCCCUCUGGGCCCGUUUCCCCACCUAUAUGGUAAGGCCUUAUAUUAUCCUUAACAGGUUUCCCCAGCUCUGUCCAUUCCCUAGUCUGCCUCUAGUAGGGAUGGCUUGGUGCUUGGGAAUAGGAAUGAAAUUUUCAAAGCUCAAAUUGGGUUGUCCCAAACAAAACUCUAGGUUUCCCCUAAGUAAAGCUCCAGAAGACAGUAGAGCUGGAAUGGGGUUUAUCCUUCUCUGCUCAUCUCCCCUUAGAACAAUAUACCCACAGGCCAGAGAGGGAAGAGAGGGUUAGAAGGAGCACCAAGAAUUAGGAAAUGCAAGUUAUAACAGAGACACCACACCCCAUUUCUCACCCAUAAGACUAGUGAGAAGAAAUAAUUUGAAAAUGGGGCAAAGUUUCACUCAGAUACUGCUGGUUGGAAGGUAAACUGGUGCUGCUACCUUGGACAACUUGGCAGGAUCUUUUUAAUCUAAAAAUGUGCAAACUGUCAACCAACAACUGCACCUGUAAGUAUACGGCUUAGAGAAGAACAUGCACAUACACACAAAGAAACAGGUAUAAGCAGUGACUGGUGACAAACCAGUAAGGCCCGUAUGUCGAGUGGCAGAGCCAUGGACAAGACAGACGUGGUGUAUUCACAAGGUGGAAUACCAUAGAGCGGCUUAAAAGGAAUGAAAAGAUUCGUAUGUAUUAAGUAGGAUAGAUUUCAAAAGCAUAAUACUGAGUCAAAAAGGCAAGCAAGAUACAGAAUGAGAUACAAAGGAUUAAAACACACACACAUGCAUGUAAAACAAUGUCAUCCACUAUAGGAAUGGAGCUGCUGGGAGAAAAUGAUCUGAAAAUAUACCUACCCGACCACAGUGUCACCUUUGGGAAGGGAACUGAAAUGGAGACUGGUGAAUAGGGGCCCUCUCUUUAUUUGUAGUUGCUUGUGUGUGUGUGUUUUAAGAAAAUGUUAUUUUUAAACUGUGUUUUCAUCUUAAGAAGACUUAAAAAGUAUUGCUCAUAUAGUGUUUUCCUCGAAGCCUGGGAGCAAUGAGAAUGGGGGAGUGCUUUCUCCCCUGGGGCAGAAAGACAGACCUUGGGCCAGGGCCUGGACUCCAGCCAGGACAGCGGUUCUGCCCAGACCACCCCGGCUGUGGCAGCAACAGCCAGGCCCGGCGGGAACAGGCUGGGCAGUUUCCAAGCUGCACAGGCUUCACAAUCCAGUCCUUGACUGGAAGCCCAGAGCCCUGGAUCCUUAGCACAGCUUGGCCACUAACACCACUGUUGCCCCCUGUCAGCUUCAGUGGGUUCUUCUGGGCCCUGGGCUCACGGCCCCCUACGGCUCUCCUGCUGAUGGGAAUGUGCUUCCGCCCGUCCUAGCUGCGGCCUGAGAUAGAUGGGGCUACAACUUGAGUUGGCCAGCCUGGAAGCCAGCGCCCUGGACUGAAUGUCUGCUGAGGGUUUUAAAUAGCUGGGCAGGCGGGGGCUGAGGGCCCCCAGGAGGAGAGAACACAGUCUCGCCUGGCGGAAACCCCAGAAUGCCUGCCAAUGGCUCGUGGCUCACACGGUGUCUGUUGGGCACAGUUCUUCCCAUCUGGGCCCUCCCUGGCUAUCAGCUGUUUGAGGGAGGUCACCUCCCUUCUGAGCAGUCUCUUCUCAAGGCUGAUCACCCUCAAGUUGUCAGACAGUCUCUGCAUGUGGUCUGAGCAGGUGCCAGAAGAGUUGGACCAUGUCCUGCUCUUGGGGACCCUCCUCUUUUUCGCUUACUGAAGUCCAAGCCAGAGGAGCAUUUUUCAGAGAUAGCAUCAGACUGAGGAAGCCAGUUGCAGUUGAAAUGCAUUCCCCCAGCCCAAGGUCUUCCUCCAGUGCCAGGCUCCUUCCUAUCUUGACUCCUAUGAUUUGUCUUUGCACCCCUAGGCCGGAACACUAAGUUUAUCCCUCUCCAGUGCUC